rnacentral:lncRNA from 1 species
GAAGAACCAGGAGGCUGUAAGGGAGAAGAUGUCCUCAACCCAACCCACGGCGCUCUGAUGCCCUUUAUCCAGCAAACUGCAGGAACUUACUCUUGAGGAGUUUUGAAGGAGAGCCCAAAGGCUUGGCGCAAACUGAUAGGUGCAAAAUGAGCCCACAUUCCAGAGUGAGGGCUAAACCAUCUACAAGGGACACACAACUGAGAUAUUGAAGAACCCACUUUACAACCCUGAGCACAUCAAGCACUUACAGGUGUUAAAGAUUGAGAUGGAAAGUGGGGAGUAAGUGGAGAGAGACAGAACUUGAUUUCCUUGGAGAAAGAUGGAGAAAUGUUCUGAGGAAGAAGCCUGCCCUUCACAUGAAAACAAGUGAUUGGGGCUUUCAGGAACCACUUGGCGACCAUAAUAGAAAUAAGCGACUGGAGCUGGACCCACGCCUGCAAAGCAGGUGUCUAUUCUGCCUUCUGAAGACAAAAUCUCCUUAAGGAAGUAGAGCCCUCACUAAAUCUCCCAUGAUACGCCCUGAGCUUCUAAAGGGAGUGAUCUUAACACUGGCAUAUUUAUUCUCUGACUCUAAGUAAAAGAGGGACUCCAGCAGCAGUGCUCCGGAGCCAGCCCAUCCUGCCUUGCAAGAACUGACAGUGAAAUUUUCCAGAACUCUGAGAGCCAGUUGUUAAAGGCAUAUGUCAUUUGAAAAUAAAUUAUAUAAACUUAAAAUUAUAUCACAUUAAAAAUAAAAGUAAUAAGUACU